AUACGGAGGGUGCAAGCGUUAUCCGGAAUCAUUGGGUUUAAAGGGUCCGCAGGCGGAUUAAUAAGUCAGUGGUGAAAUCCUCCCGCUCAACGAGAGAACUGCCAUUGAAACUGUUAGUCUUGAAUUCGGUCGAAGUAGGCGGAAUGUGUCAUGUAGCGGUGAAAUGCAUAGAUAUGACACAGAACACCGAUAGCGAAGGCAGCUUACUACACCUGGAUUGACGCUCAUGGACGAAAGCGUGGGGAGCGAACAGGAUUAGAAACCCUAGUAGUCC
rnacentral:rRNA from 1 species